CAUCCUCUGCAGUGUUCGACAGUGAACCCGGUAUUUUCUUGAGCCUAGUUUUAUUACCCGGGGAGAACUGUGGCAGGAUUGUGUGCAAGUCCGCUGCUGGCGGAAAGCCUUAUGCCCUGCCCCCUUUCCCCACUUGAGCCUCUGGUUCAAGGACAACGGAACGCAACGGCACAGGCGGAGGAUGC
rnacentral:other from 1 species